AACCUACCCAAUUAUUAUACUAAUAGCAAAUCAACCCCAAGUUACCACCGCCAAUUCCCCACUACACUAUACAAUCACCAACCCAUUCCAUAUAACAUGCUUACACCUGUACGUAGAACUUACAAUUAACUGACACACUACACAAUAAUAUACAUCACCAACAAUGUACAGCCCACCGCCAAGCGCAAAUUUCCCAAUCCAAUUCAAAUCAUACCCUUCAGCAAACCCACACCAAUCCCCGAUAACACAUACAACCUCUCUAGACAAAUGAUGGUUGCUCAAUUGAUUAAGCAUCUUCACCCACGACUAGUAGAUUUUGGGUUCAAGUCACAUUGAAAAGGAAGUGUAAAAACACUAUAAAUUCUUUAAAAUAAGGGGAAAUUUUAGGCUCGUAAAUUAUUCUCACAAAGGUUUAGGCUCAAAAAUUUUACUCUUUUCAUUCAUCAGAGCUUCAUCGAAGCUUCGCUGGAAUUUCUCUUUGGUGGUGGAGUCGUGAAUCCAAGUUCGAGUUCUGGUUUGCUGCUCCAAAGAUGAUGUGAAUUAGUACUUCUAUGGCCACUGAUUAGAAGGAUGUCUCUAUCCAGUUUUUGAGUAUCCACCAAGAAAAGUUUAUUUUCUUUGAAUCAUUUUUCAAGAAUACUGUUGCAUUGUCCUUACUGUUGUAUUCAUGAACAUGGACACGAUCAUGUAGCAUUAGAUUUAAUUUAGUCGUAAUUAUUCUCUUCAGUGAUUUCAAUUCAGUUAUACAGUUCAUCUA